rnacentral:SRP_RNA from 1 species
CCGAGCAAUUUAAUUAGAUAUCAUUUGGCGGUCGCCUUGGGAGGAUGCUGAUCUUUGGGUCCUGCGUAAUGGGCACCUAUGAAUCGUGUCAGGGCAGGAAUGCAGCAGCACUAAGUAGGGUGGUUCAUCUGACGUGGGGUCACCUGGAGGGAGUUUUCACAGGGCGGCUACCAAAUGGUAUCUAUAACGGCUCGG